rnacentral:rRNA from 1 species
AUUGAACGCUGGCGGCAUGCCUUACACAUGCAAGUCGAACGGCAGCGCGGACUUCGGUCUGGCGGCGAGUGGCGAACGGGUGAGUAAUACAUCGGAACGUACCCUGUUGUGGGGGAUAACUAGUCGAAAGAUUAGCUAAUACCGCAUACGACCUGAGGGUGAAAGUGGGGGACCGCAAGGCCUCACGCAGCAGGAGCGGCCGAUGUCUGAUUAGCUAGUUGGUGGGGUAAAGGCCCACCAAGGCGACGAUCAGUAGCUAGUCUGAGAGGACGAUCAGCCACACUGGGACUGAGACACGGCCCAGACUCCUACGGGAGGCAGCAGUGGGGAAUUUUGGACAAUGGGGGCAACCCUGAUCCAGCAAUGCCGCGUGAGUGAAGAAGGCCUUCGGGUUGUAAAGCACUUUUGUCCGGAAAGAAAUCGCGCUGGUUAAUACCUGGCGUGGAUGACGGUACCGGAAGAAUAAGCACCGGCUAACUACGUG